AGCGAACGCUGGCGGCAGGCCUAACACAUGCAAGUCGAACGAAGUCUUCGGACUUAGUGGCGGACGGGUGAGUAACACGUGGGAACGUGCCUUUAGGUUCGGAAUAACUCAGGGAAACUUGUGCUAAUACCGAAUGUGCCCUUCGGGGGAAAGAUUUAUCGCCUUUAGAGCGGCCCGCGUCGGAUUAGCUAGUUGGGGAGGUAAAGGCUCACCAAGGCGACGAUCAGUAGCUGGUCUGAGAGGAUGAUCAGCCACAUUGGGACUGAGACACGGCCCAAACUCCUACGGGAGGCAGCAGUGGGGAAUCUUGCGCAAUGGGCGAAAGCCUGACGCAGCCAUGCCGCGUGAAUGAUGAAGGUCUUAGGAUUGUAAAAUUCUUUCACCGGGGACGAUAAUGACGGUACCCGGAGAAGAAGCCCCGGCUAACUUCGUGCCAGCAGCCGCCGUAAAAC
rnacentral:rRNA from 1 species